AUUGAACGCUGGCGGCAUGCUUUACACAUGCAAGUCGAACGGCAGCACAGAGAAGCUUGCUUCUUGGGUGGCGAGUGGCGAACGGGUGAGUAAUAUAUCGGAACGUACCGAGUAAUGGGGGAUAACUAAUCGAAAGAUUAGCUAAUACCGCAUAUUCUCUGAGGAGGAAAGCAGGGGACCUUCGGGCCUUGCGUUAUUCGAGCGGCCGAUAUCUGAUUAGCUAGUUGGUGGGGUAAAGGCCUACCAAGGCGACGAUCAGUAGCGGGUCUCAGAGGAUGAUCCGCCACACUGGGACUGAGACACGGCCCAGACUCCUACGGGAGGCAGCAGUGGGGAAUUUUGGACAAUGGGCGCAAGCCUGAUCCAGCCAUGCCGCGUGUCUGAAGAAGGCCUUACGGGUUGUAAAGGACUUUUGUCAGGGAAGAAAGGCUGUUGCUAAUAUCGGACAGCUGCCUAACAGGUUCACUGUGAAUAGACCCGGCUA
rnacentral:rRNA from 1 species